UAGGGAAUCUUCGGCAAUGGGGGCAACCCUGACCGAGCAACGCCGCGUGAGUGAAGAAGGUUCUCGGAUCGUAAAGCUCUGUUGUAAGUCAAGAACGAGUGUGAGAGUGGAAAGUUCACACUGUGACGGUAGCUUACCAGAAAGGGACGGCUAACUAUGUGCCAGCAGCCGCGGUAAUACGUAGGUCCCGAGCGUUGUCCGGAUUUAUUGGGCGUAAAGCGAGCGCAGGCGGUUUGAUAAGUCUGAAGUUAAAGGCUGUGGCUCAACCAUAGUUCGCUUUGGAAACUGUCAAACUUGAGUGCAGAAGGGGAGAGUGGAAUUCCAUGUGUAGCGGUGAAAUGCGUAGAUAUAUGGAGGAACACCGGUGGCGAAAGCGGCUCUCUGGUCUGUAACUGACGCUGAGGCUCGAAAGCGUGGGGAGCGAACAGGAUUAGAUACCCUGGUAGUCCACGCCGUAAACGAUGAGUGCUAGGUGUUGGAUCCUUUCCGGGAUUCAGUGCCGCAGCUAACGCAUUAAGCACUCCGCCUGGGGAGUACGACCGCAAGGUUG
rnacentral:rRNA from 1 species